rnacentral:rRNA from 1 species
GAUGAACGCUGGCGGCGUGCUUAACACAUGCAAGUCGAACGGAAAACCUUUUAUUUAAGCUUCUGCAGGUUUAGCUGGUUUCUAGUGGCGGCCGGGUGAGUAACGCGUGGGUAACCUGCCUUAUACAGGGGGAUAACAACCAGAAAUGGUUGCUAAUACCGCAUAAGCGCACAGGACCGCAUGUUCCGGUGUGAAAAACUCCGGUGGUAUAAGAUGGACCCGCGUUGGAUUAGCUAGUUGGCAGGGUAACGGCCUACCAAGGCGACGAUGCAUAGCCGGCCUGGGAGGGUGAAAGGCCACGUUGGGAAUGAGACACGGCCCAGAAUCCUACGGGAGGGAGCAGUGGGGAAUAUUACACAAUGGGGGAAAACCUAAUGAAGCGACGCCGCGGGAAGGAAGAAGUAGCUCGGAAUGUAAACUUCUAUCAGCAGGGAAGAUAGUGACGGUAACUGACUAAGAAGCCCCGGCUAACUACGUG